rnacentral:rRNA from 1 species
GGUUAAGUGAAUAAGGGCGCACGGUGGAUGCCUUGGCACUAGGAGCCGAUGAAGGACGGGACUAACACCGAUAUGCUUUGGGGAGCUGUAAGUAAGCUAUGAUCCAGAGAUUUCCGAAUGGGGGAACCCAAUAUCUUUUAUAGGAUAUUACUUUUCAGUGAAUACAUAGCUGAUUAGAGGUAGACGCAGAGAACUGAAACAUCUUAGUACCUGCAGGAAGAGAAAGAAAAUUCGAUUCCCUGAGUAGCGGCGAGCGAAACGGGAAGAGCCCAAACCAACAAGCUUGCUUGUUGGGGUUGUAGGACUCCGAUAUGGUAGUCUGUUAGUAUAGUUGAAGGAUUUGGAAAAUUCCGCUAAAGAGGGUGAAAGCCCCGUAGACGAAAUGCUGACAACACCUAGGAGGAUCCUGAGUACGGCGGAACACGAGAAAUUCCGUCGGAAUCCGCGGGGACCAUCCCGCAAGGCUAAAUACUCCCUAGUGACCGAUAGUGAACCAGUACCGUGAGGGAAAGGUGAAAAGCACCCCGGAAGGGGAGUGAAAUAGAUCCUGAAACCGUGUGCCUACAACAAGUCAAAGCUCGUUAAUGAGUGAUGGCGUGCCUUUUGUAGAAUGAACCGGCGAGUUACGAUUGCAUGCGAGGUUAAGUCGAAGAGACGGAGCCGCAGCGAAAGCGAGUCUGAAUAGGGCGAAUGAGUAUGUAGUCGUAGACCCGAAACCAUGUGAUCUACCCAUGUCCAGGUUGAAGGUGCGGUAAAACGCACUGGAGGACCGAACCCACGUACGUUGAAAAGUGCGGGGAUGAGGUGUGGGUAGCGGAGAAAUUCCAAACGAACUUGGAGAUAGCUGGUUCUCUCCGAAAUAGCUUUAGGGCUAGCCUCGGAAUUGAGAAUGAUGGAGGUAGAGCACUGUUUGGACUAGGGGCCCAUCUCGGGUUACCGAAUUCAGAUAAACUCCGAAUGCCAUUCAUUUAUAUCCGGGAGUCAGACUGCGAGUGAUAAGAUCCGUAGUCGAAAGGGAAACAGCCCAGACCACCAGCUAAGGUCCCAAAAUAUAUGUUAAGUGGAAAAGGAUGUGGGGUUGCACAGACAACUAGGAUGUUGGCUUAGAAGCAGCCACCAUUUAAAGAGUGCGUAAUAGCUCACUAGUCGAGUGACCCUGCGCCGAAAAUGUACCGGGGCUAAACAUAUUACCGAAGCUGUGGACUACACCAUUAGGUGUAGUGGUAGGAGAGCGUUCUAAGGGCGUUGAAGGUCGAUCGUGAGGACGGCUGGAGCGCUUAGAAGUGAGAAUGCCGGUAUGAGUAGCGAAAGACAGGUGAGAAUCCUGUCCACCGUAUGACUAAGGUUUCCUGGGGAAGGCUCGUCCGCCCAGGGUUAGUCGGGACCUAAGCCGAGGCCGAUAGGCGUAGGCGAUGGACAACAGGUUGAUAUUCCUGUACCAGUUGUUUUUGUUUGAGCAAUGGAGGGACGCAGUAGGCUAAGGAAUGCAUGCGAUUGGAAGUGCAUGUCCAAGCAAUGAGUCUUGAGUAGAGUUAAAUGCUUUACUCUUUAAGGACAAGUUGUGACGGGGAGCGAAAUAAUAGUAGCGAAGUUCCUGAUGUCACACUGCCAAGAAAAGCUUCUAGUGAGAAAACAACUGCCCGUACCGUAAACCGACACAGGUAGUCGAGGAGAGUAUCCUAAGGUGAGCGAGCGAACUCUCGUUAAGGAACUCGGCAAAAUGACCCCGUAACUUCGGGAGAAGGGGUGCUGACUUCGGUCAGCCGCAGUGAAUAGGCCCAAGCGACUGUUUAUCAAAAACACAGGUCUCUGCAAAAUCGUAAGAUGAAGUAUAGGGGCUGACGCCUGCCCGGUGCUGGAAGGUUAAGAGGAUGGGUUAGCUUCGGCGAAGCUCAGAAUUGAAGCCCCAGUAAACGGCGGCCGUAACUAUAACGGUCCUAAGGUAGCGAAAUUCCUUGUCGGGUAAGUUCCGACCCGCACGAAAGGCGUAACGAUUUGGGCACUGUCUCAACGAGAGACUCGGUGAAAUUUUAGUACCUGUGAAGAUGCAGGUUACCCGCGACAGGACGGAAAGACCCCAUGGAGCUUUACUGUAGUUUGAUAUUGAGUGUUUGUACCACAUGUACAGGAUAGGUAGGAGCCGAUGAGACCGGAACGCUAGUUUCGGAGGAGGCGCUGGUGGGAUACUACCCUUGUGUUAUGAA